CCUAUCUACAUACACUUGACAGAUCUCUGAAGCGGGAUCUACAAUGGCAGCAGGAGUAUAAAGUACAGGAACAAGAAUAAGCAGAGAAACUUGGUAAUGUUGUUAAAUAUCAUACUACAGCAACAGAAAAACUCGUCAAAUUAUUCAAAGCUCAGUAGGUAGUUGAUGAUAACAAAACAGACGAAUCUAUAACCACUCAAGACCCCGAACAAAUUCAAAGAGCAUAAUUUGUAAUAGUUUUUCUUAUUUUCAAUCUUCAUAAUAUGUAUAUAGUAUUUAAUAUACAGUACAAAAGUAGAAUCA